rnacentral:rRNA from 1 species
UAUGUGAUCGUCUCUCGCAUAUCAAUAAGCGGAGGAAAAGAAACUAACAAGGAUUCCCCUAGUAACGGCGAGUGAAGCGGGAAGAGCUCAAAUUUGAAAUCUUAAAGGGUUUCCCUUUACGAAUUGUAGUUUAAAGAAGUGUUUUCUGUUGAGGUUUUGGUAAAAGUUCUUUGGAAUAGGACAUCAUAGAGGGUGAGAAUCCCGUAUUUGACCUUUACUUUCAACUUUGUGAUACACUUUCAAAGAGUCGGAUUGUUUGGGAAUGCAGUCCAAAAUGGGUGGUAAAUUUCAUCUAAAGCUAAAUAUUGGCGAGAGACCGAUAGCGAACAAGUACCGUGAGGGAAAGAUGAAAAGAACUUUGAAAAGAGAGUUAAACAGUACGUGAAAUUGUCAAAAGGGAAGCGUUUGACACCAGUGUUGUUUUUCUGAAAAUCAAUUAAAGAACUGUUUAUGCUAAGUUGUUUAGACUUUAUCAGCUAACUGUUUAGUUUUGAGCUUUUCUUCAAUGCACUUUUCAGUUAACAAGUCAACAUCAAUUUCUUUUGCUGUAAAAAAGCUUGAGGAAGGUGGCUUGAGAUUCGUCUUAAGUGUUUAUAGCCUCUUGCCUAUGCAGUCGGAGAGAUUGAGGUCUGCAGCGUAGAUCCUUCGGGGCUAAAUGCAUUUGUGCUAAGUUAUAGCAUUUUAUAGACAACUUGUUGACUAUGAUUUGUCUUGUAGCUUACUCGCUUAUGUUAUUUUACCUACGCUUAGGAUGUUGAGUAGCGACAUACGCAC